GACGAACGCUGGCGGCGUGCCUAAUACAUGCAAGUCGAGCGCAGGAAACUGACGGAACUCUUCGGAGGGAAGGCAGUGGAAUGAGCGGCGGACGGGUGAGUAACACGUAAGGAACCUGCCUCAAGGAUUGGGAUAACUCCGAGAAAUCGGAGCUAAUACCGGAUAGUUCAACGGACCGCAUGGUCCGCUGAUGAAAGGCGCUCCGGCGUCACCUUGAGAUGGCCUUGCGGUGCAUUAGCUAGUUGGGGGGGUAACGGCCCACCAAGGCGACGAUGCAUAGCCGACCUGAGAGGGUGAUCGGCCACACUGGGACUGAGACACGGCCCAGACUCCUACGGGAGGCAGCAGUAGGGAAUCUUCCACAAUGGACGAAAGUCUGAUUGAGCAACGCCGCGUGAGUGAUGAAGGUUUUCGGAUCGUAAAACUCUGUUGUAAGGGAAGAACACGUACGAGAGGAAAUGCUCGUACCUUGACGGUACCUUACGAGAAAGCCACGGCUAACUACGUGCCAGCCGCCGCGGUAA
rnacentral:rRNA from 1 species